rnacentral:rRNA from 1 species
GUAGGUGGCAAGCGUUGUCCGGAAUUAUUGGGCGUAAAGCGCGCGCAGGUGGUUCUUUAAGUCUGAUGUGAAAGCCCCCGGCUCAACCGGGGAGGGUCAUUGGAAACUGGGGAACUUGAGUGCAGGAGAGGAAAGUGGAAUUCCACGUGUAGCGGUGAAAUGCGUAGAUAUGUGGAGGAACACCAGUGGCGAAGGCGACUUUCUGGCCUGUAACUGACACUGAGGCGCGAAAGCGUGGGGAGCAAACAGGGAUUAGAUACCCUGGUAGUCCACGCCGUAAACGAUGAGUGCUAAGUGUUGGGGGGGGUUUCCGCCCCCGUCAGUGCUGCAGCUAACGCAUUAAGCACUCCGCCCUGGGAGUACGGUCGCAAGACUG